GAUGGUAGCGCUCACCUGCAAUCAGUGAUGCUGUGUGUGUGUGUGUGUGUGUGUGUUUGGAGAUUUGGGUGUUGGCCAGAAGGUCUGUGUGAGGAACCUGGUGAGCACCCGUGUAUCAUUCAUUAAUGAUAAUCAUUGUGAAAGUGUUUGCAUGUGCAGCAGCUGCUAAUGACUCUUUGCUGAACUGAAGCAGAAACACAGCACUCAGACAGAAUCUUUUAUUUAAAUUGUUUUUCUCUUUUUUCUUUUCUUUUACAACCAUCAUAUGUGUACAUCAUCACAUAAUCAUCUCUCGCUCACUCUUCAGCAGCCUGAGUGCCAGUUUCCUUCUAAUUGGUUGGAUCGUGACGUGUGACAGAGGACAGUCUCUCAAUUAAGUAGAUGAUGUCGUGCUGAGGAGUGUGUGUGUGUGUGUGUGUGUGUGUGUGUGUGGGUGUGUGUGUGUGUGUGUGGGUGGGACGUUAUCUUUUGCGAGGUUGUGGGAAUACCAGGGUGUGAAAAUUCCUGGGGAAUCACAGUGGAGAAGGGAAGCGAGAGUGAGAGAGAAGGUCGAGCUCGGGUCUGGAGAAAUGCCCGUGAUGUCUGGCUGCUGCUCAAGAAACAAAAAUAGACUGGACAGGAAAUGUGACGAGAGAUAAUGAGUUUGAUUCCUGACGAUGGCAUCUGCAGGUGGGAGGCGUGGCUUACUCUCUCUCAGCUAUCAAUCACGGUGGAUCUGGCCAAUCACAUGCGUCUGUGAGCUCAUGCAUGGAGAAGGGGGAGGAUAAACCUUUCCUACGGAUGGAGUGAGAUUGAUGAAGAGAUGCAUACAGAUGUUACUCUUUCUUUUUUCUCUGUUCUGCAUCAACCUAUCUAUACUAUAUGGGCAAAAGUUUGUGGACGCCCCAGCAUAAGAUUAACCCUUUUUCAUAACACCCCAAAAGUCCCCCAUUUCCCGUUAUAAUAAGCUCCACUCUUCUGGGAAGAUGUUCCAUUAGAUUUUGUGGAGGCAAAUCUGUUUGUAAUGUUAGGUGAGGAUUUGAUGGGGCUGUGGGUGCCGUACAUCUCUAGUUCACUUGAACUAGGAGA